rnacentral:rRNA from 1 species
CCUACGGGUGGCAGCAGUGAGGAAUAUUGGUCAAUGGGCGCGAGCCUGAACCAGCCAAGUAGCGUGAAGGAUGACUGCUCUACGGGUUGUAAACUUCUUUUAUAAAGGACUAAAGUGAGGCACGUGUGCCUUUUUGUAUGUACUUUAUGAAUAAGGAUCGGCUAACUCCGUGCCAGCAGCCGCGGUAAUACGGAGGAUCCGGGCGUUAUCCGGAUUUAUUGGGUUUAAAGGGAGCGUAGAUGGUUUGUUAAGUAAGUGGUGAACGUUUGCGGCUCAACCGUAAAUUGCAGUUGAUACUGGAAGCCUUGAGUACAGUUGAGGUAGGCGGAAUUCGUGGUGUAGCGGUGAAAUGCAUAGAUAUCACGAAGAACUCCGAUUGCGAAGGCAGCCUACUAAGCUGCAACUGACAUUGAUGCUCGAAAGUGUGGGUAUCAAACAGGAUUAGAUACCCUAGUAGUC